CUAAUAUGGGAUAUAAUGAAACAAAGAGAAUCCUAAAGAUUUUUUUUAAAGGAGGAAAUUACUUCAAGAUAACUGGGAAGCUCACACAGAAAGGACUUAAAAUGGAGUUCAGAAAAAGAAAGAGGAAUGUGUGUAUGCAUGCAUGUGUACACGCACGCGUUUGAUGAGACUAGGAAGAGACAGGCCACUCAAGCAUGGGAGGUCUCCGGCACAAGGAUCCAUGUGCCUGGAACCUCAUGAGCUUUGGCGUGUUAGAGAUAGCCUCUGGUGGGGAUGGUGUUUCUAAGGAGAUCUGGGAAAGCUGGAAGAAGGUAGUGAAAAUCCAGAAUCAUUGCCAGGCUCUUCCUCACCGUACAUUAAGUUCUCAUGGAAUGAUCAGAAAGCCUG
rnacentral:lncRNA from 1 species